GAUGAACGGUGGCGGCGUGCCUAAUACAUGCAAGUCGAACGCAUUGAGAGAAGUGCUUGCACUUUUCAAUUUGAGUGGCGAACGGGUGAGUAACACGUGGGCAACCUACCUGAUAGCGGGGGAUAACGAGUGGAAACAUUCGCUAAUACCGCAUAACAAUAGAGAAGGCAUCUUCUUUAUUUAAAAGGCGCUUUCAAGCGUCACUACCAGAUGGGCCCGCGGUGCAUUAGUUAGUUGGUGGGGUGAAGGCCUACCAAGACGAUGAUGCAUAGCCGAGUUGAGAGACUGAUCGGCCACAUUGGGACUGAGACACGGCCCAAACUCCUACGGGAGGCUGCAGUAGGGAAUCUUCCACAAUGGACGAAAGUCUGAUGGAGCAACGCCGCGUGUGUGAUGAAGGCUUUCGGGUCGUAAAGCACUGUUGUAUGGGAAGAAAUGCUAGGCUAGGAAAUGAGCUUAGUUUGACGGUACCAUACCAGAAAGGGACGGCUAAAUACGUGCCAGCCGCCGCGGUAA
rnacentral:rRNA from 1 species